UCACAAAAUGUGGGUGGCAUCAUUUCAAGUCCAGAUAGAGGACAUGAGAAGCUCUUUCCUUAUUCACCAUCUCCAUCAUUCUGCACAAAAACCACCAGCUUACUCAGCUAUGACUUGCCUUGGUGAACCCAUAUUAGCUAUUUCUAUCACAUCUUUGUGCUUUCAUGUGCUUUUUGCCUGGCUUCCAGAAUGGUCUGUUCCAUGAUGUUAUGAGGCAUAGAGGCACUGGGAAUUCUUCUGAUUGCCAUGACUUUUCAAAUACAAUGAAAUGUUCCUCUUCAGUAAAAUUUUCUAAAUUUCUGAUGCUUGUUCAUGGUGUCAGUAUUGGAAAUCUAAAGGCAAUUAUGUACAGACUCUUCACAGAGAGAGAACCUACAAGUGUAACUGGAAUAUGCACUACUCCUCCAGGAUCUUGCCAAAUCCCUGCCUACUGUUGGAAAGACAGAGCUGAUGAUGUGCCAGUGCUGCUCAGCAGUAGCCAAAACACUGGUGUAUUGCGUACAUUCUUUCAGCUGCCAACGCAAAGCUGGUGAGGGCUGCUAUGCAAAAAUGAACUCCAGCUCAGCCAGAUACAUU